rnacentral:rRNA from 1 species
UCCUACGGGGCGCAGCAGUGGGGAAUAUUGCACAAUGGGGGGAACCCUGAUGCAGCGACGCCGCGUGGAGGAAGAAGGUCUUCGGAUUGUAAACUCCUGUCCUUGGGGACGAUAAUGACGGUACCCAAGCAGGAAGCACCGGCUAACUACGUGCCAGCAGCCGCGGUAAAACGUAGGGUGCGAGCGUUGUCCGGAAUUACUGGGUGUAAAGGGAGCGCAGGCGGCUUGACAAGCUGGGAGUGAAAACUCCGGGCCCAACCC